GCACAAGGCGGUGGAUCAUGUUUGUUUAAUUCGAUGAUACGCGAAGAACCUUACCAGGUCUUGACACUCCCCCGCGAUGCUUUAGAGAAUAAAGCGGAGGUAUUCGGGGAGACAGGUGGUGCAUGGUUGUCGUCAGCUCGUGUCGUGAGAUGUUGGGUUAACGUCCCGCAACGAGCGCAACCCUUGUGUUUUAGUUGCAAACAGGUCAAGCUGUGCACUCUAGACAGACUGCCGUGGACAACACGGAGGAAGGUGGGGAUGACGUCAAAUCAUCAUGCCCCUUAUGAUCUGGGCUACACACGUGCUACAAUGGCCGGUACAACGGGCAGCGAAGGAGCGAUCCGGAGCGAAUCCUAAAAAGCCGGUCCCAGUUCGGAUUGCAGGCUGAAACUCGCCUACAUGAAGUUGGAGUUGCUAGUAAUCGCGAAUCAGAAUGUCGCGGUGAAUGCGUUCCCGGGUCUU
rnacentral:rRNA from 1 species